rnacentral:rRNA from 1 species
AGAGUUUGAUCCUGGCUCAGAUCGAACGCUGGCGGCAUGCCUUACACAUGCAAGUCGAACGGCAGCACGGGAGCAAUCCUGGUGGCGAGUGGCGAACGGGUGAGUAAUAUAUCGGAACGUGCCCAGUCGUGGGGGAUAACGUAGCGAAAGCUACGCUAAUACCGCAUACGAUCUAUGGAUGAAAGCGGGGGAUCGUAAGACCUCGCGCGAUUGGAGCGGCCGAUAUCAGAUUAGCUAGUUGGUGGGGUAAAAGCCCACCAAGGCGACGAUCUGCAGCUGGUCUGAGAGGACGACCAGCCACACUGGAACUGAGACACGGUCCAGACUCCUACGGGAGGCAGCAGUGGGGAAUUUUGGACAAUGGGCGAAAGCCUGAUCCAGCAAUGCCGCGUGCAGGACGAAGGCCUUCGGGUUGUAAACUGCUUUUGUACGGAACGAAACGGUCUCUUCUAAUACGAAGGGCUAAUGACGGUACCCGUAAGAAUAAGCACCGGCUAACUACGUGCCAGCAGCCGCGGUAAUACGUANGGUGCAAGCGUUAAUCGGAAUUACUGCGCCUUAAGCGUGCGCAGGCGGGUAUAUUAAGACAGUUGUGAAAUCCCCGGGCUCAANCUGGGAAUUGCAUCUUGUGACUGUNUACUAAAUACNGUANAAGGGGAUUGGAAU